rnacentral:rRNA from 1 species
CAAUAGCGUAUAUUAAUGUUGUUGCAGUUAAAAAGCUCGUAGUUGGAUUUCUGAUGAGAGCCCUGGUCACUCUAACGAGUGUACUGAUGUGGCGUCUCGUCGUUUCAUGGGGAUGCUUGCUGGUAUUAAGUUAUCGGCUUGUGGAUCCAUGUCGUUUACUGUGAAAAAAUUAGAGUGUUCAAAGCAGGCCAUCGCUGUGAAUACAUUAGCAUGGAAUAAUAAGAUAGGACUGUGGUGCUAUUUUGUUGGUUUGCGUACUACGGUAAUGAUUAAUAGGGAUAGUUGGGGGUAUUCAUAUUCAAUUGUCAGAGGUGAAAUUCUUGGAUUUAUGGAAGAUGAACUACUGCGAAAGCAUUUACCAAGGAUGUUUUCAUUAA